UACGUAGGGUGCAAGCGUUAAUCGGAAUUACUGGGCGUAAAGCGUGCGCAGGCGGUUUUGUAAGUCUGUCGUGAAAGACCCGGGCUCAACCUGGGAAUUGCGAUGGAGACUGCAAGGCUUGAAUCUGGCAGAGGGGGGUAGAAUUCCACGUGUAGCAGUGAAAUGCGUAGAGAUGUGGAGGAACACCGAUGGCGAAGGCAGCCCCCUGGGUCAAGAUUGACGCUCAUGCACGAAAGCGUGGGGAGCAAACAGG
rnacentral:rRNA from 1 species